AUUGAACGCUGGCGGCAUGCUUUACACAUGCAAGUCGAACGGCAGCGCGGGCUUCGGCCUGGCGGCGCGUGGCGCACGGGUGAGUAAUGCAUCGGAACGUGCCCAGUAGUGGGGGAUAGCCCGGCGAAAGCCGGAUUAAUACCGCAUACGACCUGAGGGUGAAAGCGGGGGACCGAAAGGCCUCGCGCUAUUGGAGCGGCCGAUGUCGGAUUAGCUAGUUGGUGGGGUAAAGGCUUACCAAGGCGACGAUCCGUAGCUGGUCUGAGAGGACGACCAGCCACACUGGGACUGAGACACGGCCCAGACUCCUACGGGAGGCAGCAGUGGGGAAUUUUGGACAAUGGGGGCAACCCUGAUCCAGCCAGGCCGCGUGCGAGAAGAAGGCCUUCGGGUUGUAAAGCGCUUUUGUUCGGGAAGAAAUCCUCUGGGCUAAUACCCCGGGGGGAUGACGGUACCGGAAGAAUAAGCACCGGCUAACUACGUG
rnacentral:rRNA from 1 species